AUUGAACGCUGGCGGCAGGCCUAACACAUGCAAGUCGAGCGAGCGGCGGACGGGUGAGUAAUGUCUGGGAAACUGCCUGAUGGAGGGGGAUAACUACUGGAAACGGUAGCUAAUACCGCAUACCAUCAGAUGUGCCCAGAUGGGAUUAGCUAGUAGGUGGGGUAACGGCUCACCUAGGCGACGAUACCUAGCUGGUCUGAGAGGAUGACCAGCCACACUGGAACUCAGACACGGUCCAGACUCUGACGGGAGCCAGCAGUGGGGAAUAUUGCACAAGGGGCGCAAGCCUGAGACAGCCAUGCCGCGUGUUUGAAGAAGGCCUUCGGGUUGUAAAGCACUUUCAGCGGGGAGGCGUUACCCCCAGAAGAAGCACCGGCUAACUCCGUGCCAGCAGCCGCGGUAAUAC
rnacentral:rRNA from 1 species